UCUUCCACCUACCACAACUCUUCGUUUUCGUCUUAUUUUUUUGCUGCAUCGGUUCUGUUUGUUUCUUGCUUUUUCCACGGUCGAUCUUCUCAGCGAUUACUUCGUUCGGAGUGAGGGAGGUUUCGAAUCAUGGCUUUUCAGAAGAUCAAGGUCGCCAACCCCAUCGUUGAGAUGGACGGAGAUGAAAUGACUCGAGUUAUCUGGGAAUCAAUUAAGAAUAAGCUUAUUUUCCCCUUUUUGGAAUUGGACAUCAAGUAUUUUGACCUUGGCCUUCCACACCGUGAUGCCACAGAUGAUAAAGUUACAAUUGAAAGUGCAGAAGCUACUUUAAAGUACAAUGUGGCGAUCAAAUGUGCAACAAUUACUCCAGAUGAAGCACGUGUUAAGGAAUUUGGCUUGAAGCAGAUGUGGAGAAGUCCAAAUGGGACAAUCAGGAAUAUUCUGAAUGGUACUGUCUUCAGAGAACCAAUUCUUUGCAAAAAUGUUCCUCGCCUUGUACCAGGUUGGACGAAGCCUAUCUGUAUUGGACGACAUGCUUUUGGUGAUCAAUACAGAGCUACCGAUACAGUUAUCAAAGGACCUGGAAAACUGAAAUUGGUUUUUGAGGGGCAAGAGACGCAGGAGAUAGAGGUUUUCAAUUUUACUGGUGCUGGAGGAGUAGCGUUAUCCAUGUAUAACACUGACGAGUCCAUCCGCUCCUUUGCUGAUGCUUCAAUGAACACUGCUUAUGAGAAGAAAUGGCCUCUUUACCUUAGCACCAAAAACACUAUUCUAAAGAAAUAUGAUGGAAGAUUCAAGGAUAUAUUCCAAGAAGUCUAUGAAUCCCAAUGGAAAUCAAAGUUUGAGGCUGCUGGCAUAUGGUAUGAACACCGUCUCAUCGAUGAUAUGGUGGCUUAUGCACUUAAGAGUGAAGGAGGUUAUGUCUGGGCAUGCAAGAACUAUGAUGGAGAUGUUCAGAGUGAUUUCUUAGCACAAGGAUUUGGAUCUCUUGGGUUGAUGACUUCUGUAUUGGUUUGCCCUGAUGGAAAGACAAUUGAAGCAGAAGCAGCUCAUGGUACUGUUACACGACAUUUUAGGGUUCAUCAAAAAGGAGGUGAAACCAGCACAAACAGUAUAGCGUCCAUCUUUGCUUGGUCUCGUGGCCUUGCUCACAGGGCAAAACUAGACGACAAUGCUAGUCUCUUAGAUUUCACUGAGAAACUAGAAUCGGCUUGUAUUAGUACCGUGGAAUCUGGGAAGAUGACCAAGGAUCUUGCUCUUAUCAUUCAUGGAUCCAAGCUUUCUCGAAACCAUUAUCUGAAUACUGAAGAGUUCGUUGAUGCUGUCGCUGAGGAACUAAAAUCCAGACUACUUAAGGCAUAGUGGUAUUUUAAAUGUUCAAUGGUGAAUGAUUGUUAAAUGUUCAAGAACAUCUUUCUCAUUUUCUCUUCUUUCCUGGAUAAUUAGUCUAGUGGGAGGAAUGCUAUUAAUGCGUUCGGCAGUUUACUAUCAAACUUUUUAAAGUUAAACAACAUUAAGAAGUGGAAAAAGUGCAUUGAAUUUAGGAUAGUCAACUUGAGGUUGUUAAAUAAUUCCUUCUUUUACAAUCCUUUUUCCCAUGGCACCUGCACGUCCUUUAAGUGUGUAAAGACAGUGUAUCUUAGAAAUUUUAUCCUGCUCGUGGAAAAUGCUAAUUCCAUUCUUGGUUCAUUU